UUGCUCCCUUUGGCAACAUAUAUACUAAAACUGGAACAAUACAGAGAUUAGUAUACCCCUUGUGAAAAGAUAAUGUGAAAACUCAGGGAACGUUCCACAUUUUU